GCGGAGGGAUCAUUACACAACAAAAUAUGAAGGCCUGGCUUUCGCGGCCGGCUGAAGUAUUUUUUUCACCCAUGUCUUUUGCGCACUUGUUGUUUCCUGGGCGGGUUCGCCCGCCACCAGGACCAAACCAUAAACCUUUUUUUCUUAUGCAGUUUCCAUCAGCGUCAGUAAAAACAAUGUAAUUAUUACAACUUUCAACAACGGAUCUCUUGGUUCUGGCAUCGAUGAAGAACGCAGCGAAAUGCGAUACGUAGUGUGAAUUGCAGAAUUCAGUGAAUCAUCGAAUCUUUGAACGCACAUUGCGCCCUUUGGUAUUCCAAAGGGCAUGCCUGUUCGAGCGUCAUUUGUACCUUCAAGCUUUGCUUGGUGUUGGGCGUUUUUUUGUCUCCCUCUUUCUGGGAGACUCGCCUUAAAACGAUUGGCAGCCGGCCUACUGGUUUCGGAGCGCAGCACAUUUUUUGCGCUUUGUAUCAGGAGAAAAGGACGGUACUCCAUCAAGACUCUACAUUUUUCACUUUUGACCUCGGAUCAGGUAGGGAUACCCGCUGAACUUAAGCAUAUCA
rnacentral:rRNA from 1 species